GGCCUCCCAGAGUGCUAGGAUUACAGAGCUGAUGUUUUUGGAGACAAGUACGCUGAUGAGAGAAUGUGGAAGAGGCUUUUGUACAGUGUGCAAGAAAAAUACUUAACAAAAUUGAAUCAGUGGGCCCAGUGAGCUGCAGGAGGAUGCAGGGACUGCAGGGCUGUCACAGGCACUGACGGAGCAGGGUUUCCCUCCUGGUGGUGCUGACCUGUCUGACUGCCGAGAGCCGAUCAGAAGCGCCACCUCCCUGUCUGCUGAGCCUGAGGCCGAGUCUGUUCUGGAUGGAGCGGGGCCCUGAGCUGAGGCCACACCCUGAGAACUCAGAACUGAGGGAGCAGAUGGAGGAAGGGGAGCCGGCAGGUUGGGGGAUGAGAAUGACCGAAACAAGGACACGGGAAUGGUGGUGCAGGUGGA